rnacentral:lncRNA from 1 species
UAUAUAUAUUAUCUCCUUAAAAUUUAAAAAAAAAUAAAAAAUUACGACGUUAAUAAAAAAGGCAAAAUUAUCAAAUUGCCAUUACAUGUUCUAUAUAAAUAAACAAUAAUAUAUUUGUGUCAUUUUUAAAAAUAUUUUCAGUAUAAAUUAUAAGAAACGAACGAAAUAGUCACUGAGUCCUGGCGGAGAGAGAUUAAAUGCAUAAACUUGAAAUUUUAAAUAGUAAAAUGUAGAUUUUUAAAAGUAAAAAAAAAAAGAAAGAAUAUUUACAAAAAAAAAAUUCUAUAUUUUAGCCUAAAAAUUUAUUAAAUUUAAUAAUUAGUUAUAAGUUAAUGCUUUAAAUUUGAAUUUUUAUUUCAUAAAAUGUAAAAAGUUACAGGGGUUAUUAAUUAAUUAAUGGGUUAAUUGCGUACAAGUCUCCGCAAACAUGAUGAAUUACAGAUAUAUUCUUAUAAAGUUAAACUUUUAUAAGUUAUCCUUACAAAAGUUCUAAUGUAUUCAGAUAUGUCCAUGCCGUUAGAAUGCAUUAGAAAAUUUUAAUUAACCAUAGGUUAAAUAUUUUAUCCGGAUUAAUUUUUAAUAUUUUUAUCCCUCUUAUAUUAUACUGUUAUAACCUUUUGAGGGACAUAUUUGUGAUGGCAAAUUAUAAAUAUAAACAGUUUUCUAAUGGUUCUCUAAUAGUAGCAAACCAGAGGAACAUAUUUGAAAAUAUUAGAACUUUUGUAAGAAUAACAUAUGAAAGUUAAAUUUUAUAGGGAUAUAUUUGUAAUUUGUUAUAUUUGCGGGGACCUGUAUGCAAUUAAUCCAAUUAAUUAACACCUGUCGUUUUGCUUAUGUUAAGGGCAUAUUUGUGGUGUAGCGUAUGACGCUAUGCAUGACGUCAUCCAUGACCACAAUCAUAUAAUGUGGUUGCGAAGCGAGUGACGUCACAUCAAUCACGGGUAAAUUUUCAAAAAUGCACCAUCUCAACUUUUAGAAUUUUAACAUAUGACCAUCUCAACUUUUUAUCUUAAUAAUGAUUAAAUUUUUUUUAAAAAAAUUUUAACCUAAUAAUUUAUGUGGUUGAGCGUUUAUUUUUAAUAAAUGUCUUCUCGACAAUUAAAAUUUUCUUAAAAAAGCGUAAAAAAAUUGAAGAUGAAUUCAUCUUAUUUUUUAAUCAUAAUACUUUAUUUUUUUCAUUUGCAAAAAAUAGAAAAAAAGAGUUACAAACACGUUCUGAAUUUCAAAAAGUUUUUGCAUAAGCAAUCAGAACUUCUAAUUAAAUAUUUAUUCUCAACAAACUUUCGGGACGUGAUUUUACGAAGCUGCAUGCGAAACACAUUGAACCAACUUUUCUAUUUUGAUGCUUCUUUAAGGGAAAAAAAUUGAAGAUUGAUUCAAGCUUACUUGUCGAUAAAGUUUACAGAGUCCAAAUAUAAAAAAAUGAAAAAUUCAGAAAAUAAUUUGACGAAGAUCUAGAAGUUUAGGAUGUGUUUAAUUAUACAUUUAUCCCAAAAGGGGGGAAGAAGAUGUAGCUUUCUUAGGAAGCAAAUUUGAAGUGGUAAUUAAAAUAAGCAAGCAUAGGUGGCUUACUAAAGUCCCAUUCAAGCUAAGCAUUUGGUUUUAGGUAAACAUCCCAAUACAUUCCAUCUCUAAUAAAAGAGUCAACCCAUGUGCCCCAAAUAUGUUGCUUGCUUUAAUAAAAAAACUUUUAAAAUAGAGAAAACCUCAAAAACCCCUCAUGUGAUUUCGCACUUUCUCACUUUAAUAUCCUGUGGUUUAAAGUGUAUCAAAUUAGUACUCUGUGGUUUUAUUUUUGUAUCAAGUUAGUACCCUGUGAUUUUUAAACCACAGGAUACUAAAGUGAGAAAGUGCGAAACCAUAGGGUACUAAAGUGAGAAAGUGCGUAACCACAGGGUACUAACUUGAUACACGUUAAACCACAGGGUACUAAAGUGAAAAAGUACAAAACCAGGGGGUAGUAACUUGAUAUACUUUAAACCAUAGGGUACUAAAAAAAAAAAGUGCGAAACCACAUGCAGGGUAUUUGAAGUUUUCCCUUUAAAAUAUACUCCAUCUUGUUUUAUUUGUUUGGUAACAAUUCUUUACUUUAUUGAUUAUCUGUAUUUUUCUAUAUUAUUGUUUCACGAUUCACUCUUCUCACUCUCUUAUUAUCGCUAAAAUUGUUGGAAGUAUGAUUUACUCUGGUAGCAAUUGUUGGAAGUAUGAUUUACUCUGGUAGCAAUUGUUGGAAUCGAUACUAUUUGUGCUGAUACCUAUUAUAUAACCCAAUAUCUAAAAUAGAACAAAAUAAUAUGAAAAAGAAAUAUUGGAGGAGUUAGAAAAUAACUAAACUAAUAUUUUAUUAAUAAAAGGUAAUUAAUUAUAUUAUGGACAACAUCCAUGCAGUUAUGUUUACUGUGGCUNUGAAAAUAAUAAUCCAAACUUAAUUAAAAUAUAGUUAGAUAUAAGUUUAAAUCUUUUAUUUGAUUAUGAUUAGAAUUUGUAGUUAUUCAAAGUAAAAGGUAAUUAAUUAUAUUAUGGACAACAUCCAUGCAGUUAUGUUUACUGUGGCUUAUUCUUCUAAUUAACCCAUGCCUAACUAUAUAUAUAGCUAUCAACUCAUAACAGAUGAUAAAUCUAACUUUUACUUUGAAUAACUACAAAUUCUAAUCAUAAUCAAAUAAAAGAUUUAAACUUAUAUCUAACUAUAUUUUAAUUAAGUUUGGAUUAUUAUUUUCAACAAAAAUAGAAAAAAAAAUAGUUUGAAAGUGGCACCACAUCAUCACUCACCCAAUCAGCGGAAUUAUGCUCCUCAGGUCACCCAUCUCAUCAUAACUACAAAAAAAAGAGGAAACUUCAAAUAUCCUUCCCGUGGUUUCACACUUUCUCAUUUUUGUAUUCUGUGGUUUAAAAUGUAUAUCAAGUUAGUACCCUAUGAUUUCGCACUUUCUCACUUUAGUACCCUGCGGUUUCAAGUGUAUUAUAUUAGUACCCUGUGGUUUCAUUUUUGUAUCAAGUUAGUAUUUUGUGGUUUUAAUUUUCUCUUUUUAUUAUCUAUUUCGGGGUAUAUAAUUUAACGAAAUAUUAAACCACAGGGUACUAAAGUGAGAAAGUGCGAAACCACAGGGUAUUAACUUGAUACACUUGAAACCAUAGGAUACUAAAGGAAAAAAAAAGUGCGAAACCACAAGGCAGGUAUUUGAAGUUUCGCCCAAAAAAAAUUAUUGUACCUAGGAGUCAUAGAUGGUACGAUGUAAUUGCGACACAGAAGACCUUUUCCUAAAAUAGUUAUGAGACAUGCAGAAGAGAGGAAGAUAAAAAGAUAGAUAAGAAUAAGAAUAUUUUACAAUAAAAAAUUAUCAUAUAACAAGUUAAAAUUAAUUCAUAAAAUGGGUUAAGAUGCACUUCUCGGUUUUGAAACUAUGAGGCGCGUGACACUUUAGUACUCAAAUUUUAAUUUGCUAUAAUUUUUGGCUCAAAUUUUAUGACUAAUUGGAAGCAAGUUCCGCGAUCUAAUUUUAUUGGGUAAAUAUUGACGUGUUGCUCACGCGGAAGUACAGUGACAUUUUAAUUAUUAUCGUCUCGUUACUUAUAAUACUGCAGCAAUUGAGAAGAGUAACUUUACACAAAAGAUAACCUUGUCUCUUUAAAUAUUUUUUAAACAAAAAAAUAUAUAUUUUUACAUCGAAAGUAAUCUUAUCAUCAUAUAUAUAAAAUAAUAAAAUUUUAAAAGUUAUUUAUCAACUGCAUAUAACCAAACAAAUUAUUUAUAGUUACAGCGCUUUCUAUUACAUCUAAUCAAAUAUGAUACAUGUAUUUAUAACUGUUGUAUUUUCAACUGCAUGUAUUUUUAACUAUAUAUAUUGCAUUUAUAAUUACAUUUAACCAAACGGUCCCUAAUAAACUUAUAGUUUGUAAAUUUUUAUCAAAAAUAAAUAUACUUUUUAUUUAAUAAACGUGCAAAAGACAAGUUAAAAAAAUAAUGAAAUAAUAAACACGCAUGACAUGAGAUAGCAAUAGCCACCUCUCUUCCACGCAUCCAUCCCCUAAUCCCCCCUAUCUCUCUAUCUCCUCCCAAUCCGCUCUGAUACCGACACUCUCUCUUUUCCAUCUCAACCCGCUCUGAUACCGACACAACGAGCUUUGUCUCUCAUAUCGAGGAAGAUUCUCACAUUUGCCACGUCAUCACCCUCGCUCACUCCUAAUCCCACGCCACCCCAAAAAUCACCCUAGCUAAUAAAAAACUUUUGUUUAAUUUAUUAUUAUAAUAAUUAUUAUUAGCUCUAAUUUUUAGAAUUGUUGCUGUUAAGUUCUAUGAGUUAAUGUGGAUGUGGAAGUGAGUGAUGUAGGAUUUAGUAUUGUGAUUGAUUAAACGAUAUUAGUUUUUCAUUAGCAGGGCGUUAAUAACUAGUCGAUUAAUUUUUGAGAACUAAAGCGUCACCCAUUUCAUAGCUUGGGUACAAAAUGUGCAAGUUUAGUUCUUUUAACAUUACUAAUGUUAGUUUUUAUGGUUUGAACCUUUAAACAUGCUUACGGAUUAAAAAACAAAAGAAUUGUUGUGCCAACUACGGUGUCAACAAGCCGAACACGAGCGAGCUGAGACCGGCUCGAGCUGAAUACGAGCUGGUUUGUUAAAAUAUCAAGUCGAAAAAUUCAGCUCGUGUUCUGCUCGUUUAUUAACGAGCAAAACACCAAAUUAAAAGAAUUAUAAAGAAUAUGUAUAAAAAAUAAAUUUAUGAGAUCUUACCGAUUUUACUUUGAUCUAAUAGUUGAAAUUUUACAUAUAAAUGUUUCUUUUCUAAUUAAGUUGGGCUUUAUAUUUAGGUUAAGUUAAAAACCAAUUAUAUAUAUAUACACACUUGUAUUCGAGCUGUUAUUGAGCUGAACACGAGCGAGUUGACCCUAGCUCGUGUUCGACUCGUUUAUUAAACGAGUGAUUCGAUCUUUCUUUCAGUAUUAAAUCAUUAUUUUGUGAGAAAAUCAUCUCCAUAAUAAAAGAAUAAUAAUACAAUAUAAUAAAAUAAUAAUAAUAAUAAUAAUAAUAAGAAAAUAGCAUGAGAUGUGUUAGAUGCUACUUAGGGGCUUAGUAAAUUAAAAAAUAUAUAUCUUUUGUUCUCCCUAUAAGGUCAGAAUUUAGGAUUUAUUGAAUUUCUAGAAAGAAAAAUAAAAGUAUCAGACAUAUUCUGCUACAAAUGGUAAAAUUUCCAGUGACCCAAAAAAUUCGUGCCCUUUUUACGGGAACACGUGAGGAAAAAUUUGAUUGCCAUAUGUCACUUUUAUUAUUAUCUAAAAAUUAAUAUCCUUAAAUUUGAUAUUAAAAAAUGUUUAAUAAACUGUUCGAUAGAGACAAAUCUAAAACGUAACAGAUGAGAGUCUCCAAUAAAUUCUAGAAUGUACCAGUCAUAUUAUUGACAUAAUAUUCCCAGCUAAUAGAGUAGUAUAAUCUUUUUAUUGUACUAUUCUCUUUAGGGAUGUCAACGAGCCGAGCACAUGCGAGUUAGGGUCGGCUCGUGCACAAAUUGACUCGUUAAAAUAUCGAGUCGAAAAAUUUAACUUAUGUUCAACUUAUUAAUAAACGAGCCGAGCACAAGUUGACCAACGAGCUGGCCAACGAAUAAUAAGUUAAAUGAAUUAGAUUGGAUAUCUAUAAAAAAUAAAUUUAUAAAAUCUUACCCAUUAAAACUUGAUCGAAUGGUUGAAACUUUACAUAUGAAUAAGUCUUUUUAUAAUUGAGCUUGCAUUUAUAUUUUUUUUUUACUAAAAAUUAAAUAAUAAAAAAAAUAUAUAUAUUACAUAUAUAAUUAUUUAUCUAUAUAUAUAAAUAUAAAUUAAAUAAAUUAUAUACAUAUAAAAUAUAUGUAUUCGAGUUAUUAUUGAACCUAACAUGAGCGAGUCGACCCCAGCUCGUGUUUGACUUGUUUAUUAAACGAGCAGAAAAAAUUCAACUCAUGUUCCACUGGUCUACUAAACGAGCUAUUCGAUCUUGAAAUCAUUUCGAGCCAAAUAGGAGCUGGUUUGUCGCCCUAAAUCUCUGAAGAAGAGAAAUACGAUUGAUUUGUUACUAAUGAUGAGAUACAAAUAUGAUACAGUAAACUUUUUUUUUCCUCAUGGCAAAAUAGA